GCCCGAGUAGCGUAAUGGUUAGCGCGUUGCUCUCCGGAGGCAAAGAUUGCGGGUUCGAGUCCCGCCUUGGGCU
rfam:Kuraishia capsulata CBS 1993 genomic scaffold, Kuraishia_capsulata_scaffold_2